rnacentral:misc_RNA from 1 species
UCCGGUUUGGCACCGGCAGUCUCCCUAGAGUUCCCGGCAUGACCCGCUGGCAACUAGGGACAGGGGUUGCGCUCGUUGCGCCACUUAAGGCAACACCUCACGGCACGAGCUGACGACAGCCAUGCACCACCUGUGCGGGCUCCGUAGAGCGCCGUGUUUCCACGGCUUCACCCCGCAUGUCAAGCCCAGGUAAGGUGGGGAUGACGUAGAGGAACACCAAC